rnacentral:rRNA from 2 species
CCUAUCAUGCAAGUCGAACGAAGUUCUCGUUGAUGAUCGGUGCUUGCACCGAGAUUCAACAUGGAACGAGUGGCGGACGGGUGAGUAACACGUGGGUAACCUGCCCUUAAGUGGGGGAUAACAUUUGGAAACAGAUGCUAAUACCGCAUAGAUCCAAGAACCGCAUGGUUCUUGGCUGAAAGAUGGCGUAAGCUAUCGCUUUUGGAUGGACCCGCGGCGUAUUAGCUAGUUGGUGAGGUAAUGGCUCACCAAGGCGAUGAUACGUAGCCGAACUGAGAGGUUGAUCGGGCACAUUGGGACUGAGACACGGCCCAAACUCCUACGGGAGGCAGCAGUAGGGAAUCUUCCACAAUGGACGCAAGUCUGAUGGAGCAACGCCGCGUGAGUGAAGAAGGCUUUCGGGUCGUAAAACUCUGUUGUUGGAGAAGAAUGGUCGGCAGAGUAACUGUUGUCGGCGUGACGGUAUCCAACCAGAAAGCCACGGCUAACUACGUGCCAGCAGCCGCGGUAAUACGUAGGUGGCAAGCGUUAUCCGGNAUUUAUUGGGCGUAAAGCGAGCGCAGGCGGAUUUUUU